GUAGGUGGCAAGCGUUGUCCGGAAUUAUUGGGCGUAAAGCGCGCGCAGGUGGUUCUUUAAGUCUGAUGUGAAAGCCCCCGGCUCAACCGGGGAGGGUCAUUGGAAACUGGGGAACUUGAGUGCAGGAGAGGAAAGUGGAAUUCCACGUGUAGCGGUGAAAUGCGUAGAUAUGUGGAGGAACACCAGUGGCGAAGGCGACUUUUCUGGCCUGUAACUGACACUGAGGCGCGAAAGCGUGGGGAGCAAACAGGGAUUAGAUACCCUGGUAGUCCACGCCGUAAACGAUGAGUGCUAAGUGUUGGGGGGGUUUUCCGCCCCCUCAGUGCUGCAGCUAACGCAUUAAGCACUCCGCCUGGGAGUACGGUCGCAAGACUG
rnacentral:rRNA from 1 species